rnacentral:rRNA from 1 species
AACGAACGCUGGCGGCAGGCUUAACACAUGCAAGUCGAACGGGACAGCAAUGUACAGUGGCGCACGGGUGAGUAACGCGUGGGAAUAUGCCCUUGAGUACGGAAUAGCCUCGGGAAACUGGGAUUAAUACCGUAUACGCCCUUCGGGGGAAAGAUUUAUCGCUAAAGGAUUAGCCCGCGUGAGAUUAGGUAGUUGGUGGGGUAAUGGCCUACCAAGCCUACGAGCUCUAGCUGGUCUGAGAGGAUGAUCAGCCACACUGGAACUGAGACACGGUCCAGACUCCUACGGGAGGAAGCAGUGGGGAAUAUUGGGCAAUGGACGAAAGUCGGAACCAGCCAUGCCGCGUGAGUGAUAAAGGCCUUAGGGUUGUAAAGCUCUUUCGUUGGUGACGAUAAUAACGGUACCCAAAGAAGAAGCCCCGGCUAACUUCGUGCCAGCCGCCGCCGUAA